AUUUUACAUGGUAAAAAAUGUGAUAUUGCAUUGCUUGUAUCGUUGUAUAAGGGAUGGUAAAACAUAUAUAUGAGCAGAUUGUACAAGAUAAAGAUAUACAAGUAAACAAAUAUGUGUUAUCUACAUGAAAUAGAAUAACUAAAGAGAUAAAUGGAUGUGAAGGUGAUCUUUAUUGUGGUGAUCUUUAUCCUAACAAUCCCCCAUUUUGUUACUGCUACAAGGUGUCCCUUCUUCAGAGCCGUCCAUCGUGUUAAUCUUCUUUCAUCCUUCCAGCUCUUCUAAUUCUU
rnacentral:misc_RNA from 1 species